GCUGGGUGCAGUGGCUCACACCUGUAUUCCCAGCAGCUGUGGAGGCUGAGACAAGAGGAUCAUGAUUUCAGAGCACCUCUGCAAUUUAGCAAGGCACUAAGCAACUAAGUGAGACCCUGUCUCUA
rnacentral:sRNA from 1 species